rnacentral:rRNA from 1 species
GUAUGGAAGGGCCAUCGCUCAACGGAUAAAAGGUACUCUGGGGAUAACAGGCUGAUACCGCCCAAGAGUUCAUAUCGACGGCGGUGUUUGGCACCUCGAUGUCGGCUCAUCUCAUCCUGGGGCUGUAGCCGGUCCCAAGGGUAUGGCUGUUCGCCAUUUAAAGAGGUACGUGAGCUGGGUUUAAAACGUCGUGAGACAGUUUGGUCCCUAUCUGCCGUGGGCGUUGGAUAUUUGAAGGGGGCUGCUCCUAGUACGAGAGGACCGGAGUGGACGAACCUCUGGUGUACCGGUUGUCACGCCAGUGGCAUCGCCGGGUAGCUAUGUUCGGAAGAGAUAACCGCUGAAAGCAUCUAAGCGGGAAACUCGCCUUAAGAUGAGAUAUCCCUGGGGACUAGAUCCCCUUGAAGGGUCGUUCGAGACCAGGACGUUGAUAGGUCAGGUGUGUAAGCGCAGUAAUGCGUUCAGCUAACUGAUACUAAUUGCCCGUAAGGCUUGAUCCUAUAACA